rnacentral:sRNA from 1 species
GAGGCGUUUGUUGCAGCUACCUGCACUUCUAGAUGCUCCCCGGGUUCAUCCUGUGUCCUCUCCACCUGCCAGUCAUCUUCUUGUGAGCCCUGGGCUUAGAAGUCACCAUGGCAACUGAAGAGUUCAUCAUCCGCAUCCCCCCAUACCACUAUAUCCAUGUGCUGGACCAGAACAGCAAUGUGUCCCAUGUGGAGGUCGGGCCAAAGACCUACAUCCGGCAGGACAAUGAGAGGGUACUGUUUGCCCCUAUGCGCAUGGUGACCGUCCCCCCACGUCACUACUGCACAGUGGCCAACCCUGUGUCUCGGGAUGCCCAGGGCUUGGUGCUGUUUGAUGUCACAGGGCAAGUUCGGCUUCGCCAUGCUGACCUCGAGAUCCGGCUGGCCCAGGACCCCUUCCCCCUGUACCCAGGGGAGGUGCUGGAAAAGGCUCCAGAGCCUACCAGAAGUGCCCAGCCAGUCUGGCAUUAAAUGACAUGUGCCAAGGUUAAGCAGUUCAUUCACCCAGUGCCAGGCACUGGUGGGCGGUGCCAAAGCAGCAGUGACAAGCCCAGG